rnacentral:rRNA from 1 species
UACGGAGGGUGCAAGCGUUGUCCGGAAUCACUGGGCGUAAAGGGUGCGUAGGCGGGUCUUUAAGUCAGGGGUGAAAUCCUGGAGCUCAACUCCAGAACUGCCUUUGAUACUGAGGAUCUUGAGUUCGGGAGAGGUGAGUGGAACUGCGAGUGUAGAGGUGAAAUUCGUAGAUAUUCGCAAGAACACCAGUGGCGAAGGCGGCUCACUGGCCCGAUACUGACGCUGAGGCACGAAAGCGUGGGGGAGCAAACAGG